GGAAGGGUGGCCGAGUUGGUUAUGGCGCCAGGUUAAGGUCAGCUUAACAUCUGUUUCCUGGUGGGGCAACCCGCGCGAGUUCGAGUCUCGUCCCUCUCA
rnacentral:tRNA from 2 species